UCUCCUACAUAACUUAGAGACAUGUUCAAAUAAGGGCAUGUGGGUUUGUCCGUGUCAGGCUGUCCUCUAUAAAAAUGUAACUCACUUCUAACUGUAUUCACUGAGACAGCACCUUGCAUUGUGAAAGAAACAGAGUCAACUGCAUCUGAUAGACGUCUUUCUCCACCAAAAUGGCUGUCCUGUACUGGAUGGCUGUAACGCUGGGUUUGUUCCUGUCUGCUGGAAACAGUUUGGCUGAUGUGGACCAGAACGAACUUGCAGGAAUUGUAAAAGAAAUCUUGAACAAGUAUAGACCAAGCUACACGGGCAGCAACGGUCAAAGAAGAGAACCCAUGUUCAGUCUGGCUGUAAGCAUCCCAUACGACAGUGACAGGAAAAUAUAUGACAUCAGUCAAGUCACUGACACUCGUGAACAAGUCUGGCAAAGUAUUUUGAAGAAAUGUGAAGUGUACACCAGUAAGAGGAUGGUCGCAGCUACAGUUCUGAGAUGGCCCAAUGUUGUGGAUCAAUGUCCUGAGGGACGUGUGCAAUGGUCUGAUCUUCCAACAAAAUGUGGUCAAACGUGGGUUGAUGUUAAAAAAAAAUUAUCCCACAGAAAUCAAAGAUGGUAGAGCGGAUCAUGCAGAGUACCGUAUUCUACAAAACUUUGACACCUUGGUCAGCAAUCAUGACAAAAAUGAUUUGUUGCUUUUCUACGUUCUUGCUUCCCCGUGUGAUCAAAGAUGUACAAAUGAAUCUAGUCCCUAUAACAUUCUCAAUAGCAUAAAAAAUGAUUCAGCAGUGGAAUAACUAUGCUAUUGUGUUUUCCAAUGUAUUUAACCCCCGUGAUGGUGACCCACGUGGAUCCAUUGAGCGGCUUGGGCAAUCAGUUGGUCUGAUCAAUAUAUUCCGUUGCACAGGAGGUGAAAUGCAGUGCACAAGCUGCUCUAGCGGUAAACAAGUUACACCCUAUUGUUAUUUAGAGGAACCACAACCUUCCCCAACAAAUAUAGCAGAAGUUGUGUCCUCCUCCCAAAGUGGGCUUGGUAGCAAUAAUGGAAAUUAUGGUUCUAAUACAGGUGAAAUCAUCUCCCCAUCACAAACAGGUCCUAGUUAUGGCAAUGGAAAUAAUUUAAAUGAAGGAGGUGGUUCCUUCUCCCAAAGCGGGCUUGGUAGUAAUAAUGGAAAUUAUGGUUCUAAUACAGGAGAAAGCAUCUCCCCAUCACAAACAGGUCCUAGUUAUGGCAAUGGAAAUAA